rnacentral:rRNA from 1 species
AGCCUGAACGCUGGCGGCGUGGCUAAGACAUGCAAGUCGCACGGAGGUAGCAAUACCUCAGUGGUGAACGGGUGAGUAAUGAAUCGCUAAUGUGCCCCGGACUCUGGGAUAGCUAGCCGAAAGGUUAGGUAAUACCAGAUGAUAUAUCCUGAUCGCAUGAUCGGGAUCUCAAAGGUCCGCCGGUCUGGGAGCAGGCGAUUUCGUAUCAGCUAGUUGGUGAGGUAACGGCUCACCAAGGCGACGACGCGUAGCCGGACUGAGAGGUUGGCCGGCCACAUUGGGACUGAGACACUGCCCAGACUCCUACGGGGGGCUGCAGUAACGAAUCUUCCGCAAUGGGCGAAAGCCUGACGGAGCGACGCCGCGUGUAGGAGAAGCCCUUCGGGGUGUAAACUACUGUCAGGGUUAGAAAGUUCUGAUCAACCCCAGAGGAAGGCACGGCUAACUCUGUGCCAGCAGCCGC